rnacentral:tRNA from 1 species
ACCUUCGUGGUGUAGUGGUCAGCAAUCUCGGCUCGUAUUCGAGAGAUUCGUGGUUCGAGUCCCGGCGAGGGCA